rnacentral:rRNA from 1 species
UACGUAGGGCGCAAGCGUUGUCCGGAAUUAUUGGGCGUAAAGAGCUCGUAGGCGGUCUGUUACGUCUGCUGUGAAAACUCGGGGCUUAACCCCGAGCUUGCAGUGGAUACGGGCAGACUAGAGGUAGGUAGGGGAGAAUGGAAUUCCCGGUGUAGCGGUGAAAUGCGCAGAUAUCGGGAGGAACACCGGUGGCGAAGGCGGUUCUCUGGGCCUUACCUGACGCUGAGGAGCGAAAGCGUGGGGAGCGAACAGG